rnacentral:rRNA from 1 species
UACGGAGGGUGCAAGCGUUAUCCGGAUUCACUGGGUUUAAAGGGUGCGUAGGUGGGUCUGUAAGUCCGUGGUGAAAUCCUCCGAGCUUAACUUGGAAACUGCCAUGGAUACUAUAGGUCUUGAAUAUUGUGGAGGUCAGCGGAAUAUGUCAUGUAGCGGUGAAAUGCUUAGAUAUGACAUAGAACACCAAUUGCGAAGGCAGCUGGCUACGCAUAUAUUGACACUGAGGCACGAAAGCGUGGGGAUCAAACGGG